CAGCCUUUCCAGAAUGGGUUUAGUUAUCUAAGUGGGCAGCUAAAUAUAGUUGAUUAGUUUGAAAUUAAUUAGGUUUUGUUUUAAAACCCCUAUGUAGAGUCUUGUUCCUUGGUUUUCUACAAAUGAAAUUAUGGAAAGCUAGAUUUGGUUUUUAGAUUUUUCUCCAGCUAGAGUCAGCUGGUCUUGACCCCAAAGUCCUUUUUCUGCCACCAGUGGAUCCAUGGAGAAUGGAGAGGCUCACCUCUGAAGGUGGCUUUGCUAUGACUUAGCAACCCAGGAGAAUUAAUACCCAGCCAGGGCUCAGCUUUAUGUGGUUCAGGAGAAGCAGACAGCACAGAGAUCAUCUUAUCCUUCUGCUGCGAUUCCUGCCUGCAAACACUUUGGCAUUCCUGUGAAGAAGUUGAGUUUUGCAGCAUUUGGAGUUUGUGCUUAAAAAGAACCACCUCGCAAAUGUGAUUCUGGCUGGGGAUUAUUAUCUCGAUAUGUUGCUAAUUCCUGAAUAAUGAUGUGUACGGGGAGUUCUGAUGAAGGAUGUGGAGGAAGAUGAUUGAAGGCGCUUGCAGGUGGAAGUCACAGAUUCCUCUUGGAUGGUGACAGUUUCCAGGCUCUGUAUGGCAGAUUUUUCUCUGGCCUAAUAUGUAGUUUAUCAUAUUUCUCUCACUUUUUAUGACUGAUUUAUCAUUGCUUUGAGUUCUUUUUCUGAGAAUGCUCCUAGCACCCAGCAAUGAAUAAAUGCAAAUGGUUAUUUA